AACCAGAGCAGCGCACAGAAAUGCCAUUUACCUUCCUGCCAGAGCCGUACCUAUUUAUCUACUUGCACUUUGACGUGCUUUUGAACUGCUAGGUUGGCAGGAGCAGGGACCGAGCAACAGGAGCUUACCCCGUUGCGGGGAUUUGAACUGUCGACCUUCUGAUCGGCAAGUCCUAGGCUCUGUGGUUUAACCCACAGUGCCACCCGCGUCCCUAUCUCAAUGUGUACAUGCCAUCUAUUUAAAGUGCAUGACUCCCCCCAAAUAUUCUUGGGAACUGUAGUUUAAGAAUGCUGGGAAUCAUAGCUCUGAUAUGUAAACUAAAGUUCCCAAGGUUCAAAAAGGUGUACCAGACUGCCUCUUAUGGGGUCUGGACUAUGCUACAACAUUUUGCUGCAGUUCCCACUUGUGUAUGCAUAAUACAUACCCCCAACGCACACACAACACAAUAACAAAAAAUCAACAAUAUAUCCAGCUGGGCAUACAAAACCUAAACUUAUUAAAUAAUGACACCCAAUUUAAAAUCACAACCAUCUUUCUGUAGAUAGUGUGGUGAGAGAUACAGUUUAGCUUCAGAUUUACAGGUAUGUGCUAUUUUUCUUCAAUAACUAAAUUCCAAUAGAUUUUUUUAUGCCAUAAGUAUAUAGUCCAUAUUCAUUAUUUUUUAUAAUUUCCACUAUUUUGCUAUAGGGAUCCUGGCAGCACCUAUGUCAAAAGUUCCUUUUGGCAAAAUGUAUUCAUGCCCUCUUAUUUAGUAGGGAUAACUGGGGAGAAAUUUGAAUAUGUGUUUUAACAAUCUUUCAUAUUUCCUGAAUAAUUUCAUUCCAGAAUAAAGCAACCUGUAGGAAUCCCUGUCAUCAUUCAUCCUACAGUUUGGUGAUGUAUUGGAAGUAAUAUUUGGAAGUGCACAAUAUUUAUAAAGAGGUAGUGGGCUUUGGGUUUGCUUUGUCAUGAAAGGAGUCUUGAAGGACCUUGAAACAACAACAAAAAGUUGUUGGUAUUCUCUUUAGCAUUUAUAUAGCAAUAUGGGAAGUAGGCUAAACUUAGACCUGCUGUAUUAUAUGGUCCCAGAUAAUUUGCCAUUAUUGUAGCUUCAGCUCCCCGUCUGUUAAGGGGGGAAAGCAACAAACAAUCUUGGAACUAGCAAUGGAAGUGACCCUAAAGGGCAUCUUGUCUCCAAUAUACCAAUUCAGACUGUAAUGAGGCUGAGCACAAAUACUGUACAAACUUUCAGAAGUCCUAGGAAAACAAUAUAUAUGAGUAAAAUUCUGGGUUUUAGCUCUUUAAAUAAACCACACACUUUUUCUACUAAAACAUACAAAAUACUAUACAGAAGUUUAAAAACAAGAACUGUAAAAGGCAGAAAGUAAGAGGCUCUAAAUUAAGUUUAAAUGCUAUUUUUCAUAGUAAACGGAAACAUUGAAAUUUCUGGCUUUUAGGCGCUUGAUACCCUGGCUCCCCUUUUCUUGCAACUACAGAUUCCCUUAUUAAUCAGCUGCACUUCCAAUUUAAAACCCUCCCUUUAGAUCCACAGUCUUCACCUAUUUAGGAAAGCCUAAAAAGACCUACCUAAUCCUGAGAGAGAAAAGAGACGACUCAUCUUCUGUCUGAAAAAUGCAGUUUUAAAUUGCUGUCACAGGUGUCAAGUCUCCUGUUUGUCUUGCUUUCUAAUUUUGCAAUGUUGCAGCAUUUAUCUCACAAACUUCCUACUAGUGCACAAUAAUUAAAAGCAUAUUAGUCUGCUUCAGGUGAAAAGCUUCUGGCAGUCCUAGAGUUCUUAAGUCUGAAGCAGAAGCAGUCUUCCUGGCUGACAUAGAAGACAAAAUAAAAAUCCAAAUGUUUUAUAUAUGUGGCACAAUCACAGCUCAAGUAGAGUAUUAAACAUUGGUCAUAGGACCCGUUUGGAGAAAGAUACUUAUUUUCCUCCUCCUCCUCACCUGAGAAACUAACUUUGUGCUUGCUCCACUCUGCUCUCAUAGUGUUUAAAAUACAAAAUUUGAAGAUGGACCAUAGCACUUGGAUACAUUAAUCACUUGAAGGGGGGCGUUGAGUACAAAGGAUCCCUGGCCCCAACAUCCACAUACUGGGCAUAGACACCUCUGUAGGUCAGGGUGGAGAACAUGUGGCCAUUCAGAUGUUGGAUUGCAACAUCGGCCCAGUAUACCUGAAGGAGUAUCUUUACUCCCAUCGUUCAGCCCAGACACUGAGGUCCAGCUCCGAGGGCCUUCUGGCAGAUCCUUCAUUGCAAAAACUAAAGUUACAGGGAACCAGGCAGAGGGCCUUCUCAGUAGUGGUGCCUGCCCUGUGGAACACUCUCCCACCAGAUGUCAAGGAAAUAAACAACUAUCUGAUUUUUAGAAGGCAUCUGAAGGCAGCCCUGUUUAAGGAAGUUUUUUAAUGUUUGAUGUUUUAUUGUGUUUUUAAUAUCCUAUUGGAAGCUUCCCAGAGUGGCUGGGGAGGACCGGCCAGAUGGGUGGGGUAUAAGUAAUAAAAUUUUUAAUUAUUAUUAUAGCUAAGAUUCCUGACCAUUAUGCUGCCAGGAUCUGAAACGAGUCCAACAAGAUCUAGAUGGCCACAGGUUCUCCAUCCCAGCUCUAUACUGAAAGAGCUCAAGGCCCAAAUAUGCCAUUUAACUCACAUCAAACAUUGAUUCCCAUUGUGAAGGAAACUAGUGGUUUGGAGGGGAGGGGGUUAAUAGCUUUUCCUUUCCUUCUAUAUAUGUAUUUAUUUACAAAGUAUUUUUUGUCUGUAUAAUUCUAAGCACCAUAUCAUGGGUUCUCUGGUGGUCUCCCAUCUGGGCACCUCAGCAGACCCGCCAAGUGUCCCUAUUUUCCAGGGACAGCCCCAGAUUUGCAGAAGCCAUUGUGACCCCUCCCUCUGCUGGCUCACUGGUCUCCAGAGUGCAAAAAGGCCUGGUGAGCUCCUGUGGUUGGAUCAUUUUGUGUUUGUUACAGAAAGAAGAUAGACAUGCUUUCAAGGCUGAGAAAAGUGUUUUCCUGGUUCGGAAAGAGAAAUAAGAUUUUGCCUCUCCCUGAGACCUCCUCCUCACCCACAACCUCCCCCUCCCUCUUCCCCUCUGGAC